rnacentral:rRNA from 1 species
AACGAACGCUGGCGGCAGGCUUAACACAUGCAAGUCGAACGCCCCGCAAGGGGAGUGGCAGACGGGUGAGUAACGCGUGGGAAUCUACCUAGUUCUACGGAACAACAGUUGGAAACGACUGCUAAUACCGUAUACGCCCUACGGGGGAAAGAUUUAUCGGAAUCAGAUGAGCCCGCGUAAGAUUAGCUAGUUGGUGGGGUAAUGGCCUACCAAGGCGACGAUCUUUAGCUGGUCUGAGAGGAUGAUCAGCCACACUGGGACUGAGACACGGCCCAGACUCCUACGGGAGGCAGCAGUGGGGAAUAUUGGACAAUGGGCGCAAGCCUGAACCAGCCAUGCCGCGUGGGUGAUGAAGGCCUUAGGGUUGUAAAGCUCUUUCAGUAGGGAAGAUAAUGACGGUACCUACAGAAGAAGCCCCGGCUAACUUCGUGCCAGCAGCCGCAGUAA